AGCGAACGCUGGCGGCAGGCCUAACACAUGCAAGUCGAACGAACCUUUCGGGGUUUUUGUCGGCCGGGUGUGUAACACGUGGGAACGUGCCUUCAUGUUUGGCAUAACUCAGGGACACUUGUGCUAAUACCGAAUGUGCCCUUCUGGCGGAAGAUUUAUCGCCGUUAGGGGGUCCCGGGUCUGAUUAGCUAGUUGUGUGAGUUAAUGGUUCAUCAAGGCGACGUUCAGUAGUUGGUAUGAGAGACAGAUCAGCCACAUUGGGACUGAGACGCGGCACAGAAUCCUACGGGAGGCAGGAGUGGGGGAUCUAGCAAAAUGGGCGGAGGCAUGAAGGAGCCAGGACGGGUAAAUGAUGAAAGUAUUAGGAAUGAAAAAUUCUUUCAACGGGGAAGAUAAUGACGGUACCCGGAGAAGAAGCCCCGGCUAACUACGUG
rnacentral:rRNA from 1 species